rnacentral:tRNA from 1 species
AGGGGUGUAGCUCAGCUGGUAGAGCACCGGUCUCCAAAACCGGGUGUCGCAGGUUCGAAUCCUGUCGCCCCUGCCA